GUCGUUUUGGCUGAGUGGUUAGGCGUGUGUUUGCUAAGUUCACGAGAGUUCGAAUCUCCCAGAUGACA
rnacentral:tRNA from 1 species